rnacentral:lncRNA from 1 species
CCCGCACAGGCACACAUUCAAGUAUACGACGGAGCUUGAUUUCGAGAUCCUCCUCUUCGGGAUUAGCUGCAGGUGGCGUGUAUUCUACCAGAGCGGUGGACGAAGACGCUGGAGGUCGAGGAGGUAGGGCAGCCACCUGCCUCUCCGACGCAGGAACCACCUGUAAAUCUCCGGCCGCCAGGGCCGCCGAUCGGCCAGACGAUGACAUCUUCGCAAAUUUACUUUCACUCUCCCACUGGAGGCAGAAUAAUAGACUAAGAAGAAAAUAAUGUUAACCGUUGCGAGUGACAGAAACUUUUCCCUAGGGGCACCGGGUCUUCGCCACCGUAUUUGAUUGCCUGGACGACGAUAUAUCUUUUAGGGCAAUAUGCCCCUGUGAUUA